UACGGAGGGGGCUAGCGUUGUUCGGAAUUACUGGGCGUAAAGCGCACGUAGGCGGCUUUGUAAGUUAGAGGUGAAAGCCCGGGGCUCAACCGAGGAACGUCGAUCGAUACUGCUGUUCUUGAGGAUUGCAGAGGAGACUGGAAUUCCCGGUGUAGCGGUGAAAUGAUGUAGAGAUCGGGAGGAACACCGGUGGCGAAGGCGGGUCUCUGGGCAAUUCCUGACGCUGAGGCGCGAAAGCGUGGGGAGCAAACGGG
rnacentral:rRNA from 1 species